UACGUAGGGUGCAAGCGUUGUCCGGAAUCAUUGGGCGUAAAGCGCGCGUAGGUGGUCAUGUAAGUCCGCUGUGAAAGUCAAAGGCUCAACCUUUGAAAGCCGGUGGAUACUGCAUGACUAGAGUACGGAAGAGGCGAGUGGAAUUCCUGGUGUAGCGGUGGAAUGCGCAGAUAUCAGGAGGAACACCAAUAGCGAAGGCAGCUCGCUGGGACGUUACUGACACUGAGGCGCGAAAGCGUGGGGAGCAAACAGG
rnacentral:rRNA from 1 species